rnacentral:rRNA from 1 species
AGUUUGAUCCUGGCUCGAAUGAACGCUGGCGGCAGGCCUAACACAUGCAAGUCGAACGGAGUUAUAUUGUAGCUUGCUAUGGUAUAACUUAGUGGCAGACGGGUGAGUAAUGUAUAGGAAUCUACCUAGUAGUACGGAAUAAUUGUUGGAAACGGCAACUAAUACCGUAUACGCCCUACGGGGGAAAAAUUUAUUGCUAUUAGAUGAGCCUAUAUUAGAUUAGCUAGUUGGUGGAGUAAUAGCCUACCAAGGCAAUGAUCUAUAGCUGAUCUGAGAGGAUGAUCAGCCACACUGGAACUGAGAUACGGUCCAGACUCCUACGGGAGGCAGCAGUGGGGAAUAUUGGACAAUGGGCGAAAGCCUGAUCCAGCCAUGCCGCAUGAGUGAAGAAGGCCUUUGGGUUGUAAAGCUCUUUUAGUGAGGAAGAUAAUGACGGUACUCACAGAAGAAGUCCUGGCUAACUCCGUGCCAGCAGCCGCGGUAAUACGGAGAGGGCUAGCGUUAUUCGGAAUUAUUGGGCGUAAAGGGCGCGUAGGCGGAUUAGUAAGUUAAAAGUGAAAUCCCAAGGCUCAACCUUGGAAUUGCUUUUAAAACUGCUAAUCUAGAGAUUGAAAGAGGAUAGAGGAAUUCCUAGUGUAGAGGUGAAAUUCGUAAAUAUUAGGAGGAACACCAGUGGCGAAGGCGUCUAUCUGGUUCAAAUCUGACGCUGAGGCGCGAAGGCGUGGGGAGCAAACAGGAUUAGAUACCCUGGUAGUCCACGCUGUAAACGAUGAAUGUUAAAUAUGGGAAGUUUUACUUUCUGUAUUACAGCUAACGCGUUAAACAUUCCGCCUGGGGACUACGGUCGCAA